AAUAAGUGUAGUUUUGCACUAUUCACGUUCAACGUUUGACCGUUGGUCUUAUUUAUUUUUUUUAUGAUUAGUAUUUUUAUUACUAUUAAAUAAUAAAACAUUAAUAGUACUUUAUAUGUGACUAAAUAUUUUCAAAUUUUUUAAAUAAGACGGAUAGUCAAAUAUUAGGCAUAGAUAUCUACCGCUAUAUUUAUU
rnacentral:pre_miRNA from 1 species